rnacentral:tRNA from 2 species
CCCUGGUUAGCUCAGUUGGUAGAGCACUCCACCUGUAAUGGAGAGGUCCCGGGUUCGAUGCCCGGACCAGGCG